rnacentral:rRNA from 1 species
AUUGAACGCUGGCGGCAGGCCUAACACAUGAAAGUCGAACGAGUGGCGGACGGGUGAGUAAUGUCUGGGAAACUGCCCGAUGGAGGGGGAUAACUACUGGAAACGGUAGCUAAUACCGCAUACCAGAGGGUGUGCCCAGAUGGGAUGAGCUAGUAGGUGGGGUAACGGCUCACCUAGGCGGCGAUACAUAGCUGGUCUGAGAGGAUUAUCAGCCACACUGUAACUGAGAGACGGUCCAGACACCUACGGUAGGCAGCAGUGGGGAAUUGUGCACGAUGGGCGAAAGCCUGAUGCAGCCAUGCCGCGUGUAAGAAGAAGGCCUUCGGGUUGUAAAGUACUUUCAGCGAGGAGGCGUUACUCGCAGAAGAAGCACCGGCUAACUCCGUGCCAGCAGCCGCGGUAAUAC